UACGUAGGGACCAAGCGUUGUUCGGAUUUACUGGGCGUAAAGGGCGCGUAGGCGGCGUGUCAAGUCAAUUGUGAAAUCUCUGAGCUUAACUCAGAACGGUCAAGUAAUACUGCCAGACUCGAGUGCAGAAGGGGCAACUGGAAUUCUUGGUGUAGCGGUGAAAUGCGUAGAUAUCAAGAGGAACACCUGAGGCGAAGGCGGGUUGCUGGGCUGACACUGACGCUGAGGCGCGAAAGCUAGGGGAGCAAACAGG
rnacentral:rRNA from 1 species